rnacentral:lncRNA from 1 species
CACAUGUGUAACUUACUUGCAUUUAGGGCAGUGUUCACACGCGUUACUUGCCUGCAUUUAGGGCAGUGGUCACAUGCAUAACUUGUUUGCAUUUAGGGCAGUGGUCACCUGUGUAUCUUGCCUGCAUAUUCACAGUUCAGUUCUAAUGUUAUAUAGACAAGAAAUAGAAAACAACACGUUUGAUAACUUAUUGCGUCAUGUCACUAAAAUUGUGAAUAUUUGUGAUUUAAUUUGUAAGAAGCCAUUUAACUUUUUUUUCGAAAAUUUGAAACGAGUUUCUUGGAAAUGUACUGUUCAGUAAAUUAAUGAACACAUGCCACAUAUAUACUGAAUUCAGUUAUUGUAAAUACGAAUCUUUGGCUGCUAAUUACCUUUCGGGUUUUAAAGCCAAAGUUUACCGAUUGUGACCUUAUUCUUCAGCAAGACUGGAUUAUUCAACCAAUCAUGUGAUUUAUUCUUCAGCACCA